GAUGAAGAAGUAGUGAAAUGCGAUAAGUAAUGUGAAUUGCAGAAUUCAGUGAAUCAUCGAGUCUUUGAACGCACAUUGCGCCCCCUGGUAUUCCGGGGGGCAUGCCUGUCCGAGCGUCAUUGCUGCCCUCAAGCACGGCUUGUGUGUUGGGCUCCGCCCCCCUCCCGGGGGGCGGGCCCGAAAGGCAGCGGCGGCACCGCGUCCGGUCCUCGAGCGUAUGGGGCUUUGUCACCCGCUCUGUAGGCCCGGCCGGCGCCCGCCGGCGACCCCAAUCAAUCUUUCCAGGUUGACCUCGGAUCAGGUAGGGAUACCCGCUGAACUUAAGCAUAUCAAUAAGCGGAGGA
rnacentral:misc_RNA from 1 species